UCUGGGUUUUAUAUAUAUCUUUUAACCGUAAAGUCCCUAACUUUUUUCCUUUUCGAUGUUGAGCAAAAUUAGAAAAACUAUUAUCAUUUUAUUAAAUAGUUUCAAAGGAAUGGUUUAGUGUAAUAUUUAGGGAGAUUAACAUAAUUUUUAUUUAAUUAUGUGUAUCAUAUAUGACUUUAAGUUAUAUUAAGAAGAACUACUAAAAAAAAUUUGAUUAACGAUGAGUAAUGGUUUGGGAUGAUUCUCUGCAUCUCUCUUAUUUCGUCGCGCACCUUCAUAUUAACAAUAAUAUCUUUCGUUUAAAAAUUAUAACGAACUGUAUACUCUAUAUCAGUCUACAUAAAUGAUUGAUUAAUGAUGUUCGCUUAAUUCGAACAAUUUCUUCUUAUUCAAUCUUCUUACUGUUUGAGUUACCCUCUUUGUUUAUACUUUUGGGUUUCCAUUGUGUGGGAGAUUUCAUGGUGGUCCAGUGUGUUUGUGGUUGUCUUAGUGUGUUCGUAGUGGUUUUGGUGUGUUCAUGAUGGUCGUUGUAAGAACCUGAUUAUUCCACUCUCUCUCUUUAAUCCAAUUUUCUCAUUCUCUCUGCCUUCUCUCUACCAAUCUCCUCCUCUCUUCUAGAUCUCCUCUCUAAGCCGGUUGAUCCCUGAUUUGGUGGUGGAAGAUCAAGUUAGCGAAGAAAGUCUUCAAGAGAGGCGGACGAGGUCUCUCUGGAGCAGGCAGUGGAAGGAGAUGAUACUGCCGAUUAAUCUUUUAGUAUUUCUAAUGGUUAUUAGUACUUUAAAUACUUUGCUAAGUUUAAGUUAAAAAUUCUGUAGCUAAAUUGAGGAUGACUGUAAUCCUUAAUAUUCUUAACUGCUUUCACAUAUUAUGCAUGAUGACGUCUUAUUUUAUAUGCUUGACGUAUAUAAUUUGGGACGUUACAGU